rnacentral:rRNA from 1 species
GACGAACGCUGGCGGCGUGCUUAACACAUGCAAGUCGAACGGAAAGGCCCUGCUUUUGUGGGGUGCUCGAGUGGCGAACGGGUGAGUAACACGUGAGUAACCUGCCCUUGACUUUGGGAUAACUUCAGGAAACUGGGGCUAAUACCGGAUAGGAGCUCCUGCUGCAUGGUGGGGGUUGGAAAGUUUCGGCGGUUGGGGAUGGACUCGCGGCUUAUCAGCUUGUUGGUGGGGUAGUGGCUUACCAAGGCUUUGAAGGGUAGCCGGCCUGAGAGGGUGACCGGCCACAUUGGGACUGAGAUACGGCCCAGACUCCUACGGGAGGCAGCAGUGGGGAAUAUUGCACAAUGGGCGGAAGCCUGAUGCAGCAACGCCGCGUGCGGGAUGACGGCCUUCGGGUUGUAAACCGCUGUCGCCGGUGACGAAGCGUGAGUGACGGUAAUGGGUAAAGAAGCACCGGCUAACUACGUG